UUUGAGAUUAAUUUUUUCUUUUAAAUUAAUUAUGUAAUUAUAUCAUAGAUAAUAUUUAUUUUUAAAUAAUUCAUGGUUAAAUUAAUGUUUAUAUUAACUAAUUUGUAUGAAAGUAUAUGUAGUAAUUUAUUAUUAAGUUAGAUUAAUUUGGUGCCAGCAAUCGCGGUUACACUAAUUAGCUAAAUUAAUUGUUUAAUUAAUUUAAUGAUGAAUUUAUAAAAGUUUAAGAUUAUGCAUAAUUUUUAAUAAUUUGUGGUGAAAUAUAUUGUUAAAAUUAAUUUGCAUUCAGUUGUUUGUUUCAUUAGUAAAUUUUAUUUAAAGUAGACUAGGAUUAGAUACCCUAUUAUAUUAAUUAAUUAUUAAUGUUAAUUAAGAGAUUAAAUGUUUAAAUCAUUAAAUUUAAAGAAUUUGGCGGUGUCCUUUUGAUUAGAGGAACUUGUUUAGUAAUUGAUAUUCCACGAUAGGAUUAACUUAAUUUAAUAGUUUUUAUGUAUUGUUGUUUAUAAAUUGAUUAAAUUGGUAAGUUUUAGUUUUAAUAUGGUAUUUUUCAUAAUAAUUCAAAUCAAAGUGUAGGUUAAUUAAGAUUUUAAUGAGUUACGUUUUUAGAUUACAACGGUUGUUGGAUUAAUAUAUUUUAAUUUUAUUAUGAAAUAGUAUUUAAUUGUAAAGUAGAAUAAUAAUUUUGCUUGAAAUAUAUAAAGGAUAUGUACAAAUUGCCCGUCAUUCUUGUCUAUGAGAUGAGAGAAGUCGUAACAUAGUAAAUGUACUGGAAAGUGCCUUUAGAUUAAA
rnacentral:ncRNA from 1 species